rnacentral:tRNA from 1 species
UCGUAGCUCAACUGGAUAGAGCAACGGACUUCGAAUCCGUAGGUUGCAGGUUCGAGACCUGUCGGA